GACGAACGCUGGCGGCGUGCUUAACACAUGCAAGUCGAACGGUAAGGCCUUCGGGUACACGAGUGGCGAACGGGUGAGUAACACGUGGGUGAUCUGCCCUGCACUUUGGGAUAAGCCUGGGAAACUGGGUCUACUACCGAAUCGGAUCAUGCACCUCCUGGUGUGUGGUGGAAAGCUUUUGCGGUGUGGGAUGGGCCCGCGGCCUAUCAGCUUGUUGGUGGGGUAAUGGCCUACCAAGGCGACGACGGGUAGCCGGCCUGGGAGGGUGUCCGGGCACAAUGGGACUGAGAUACGGCCCAGACUCCUACGGGAGGCAGCAGUGGGGAAUAUUGCACAAUGGGCGCAAGCCUGAUGCAGCGACGCCGCGUGAGGGAUGACGGCCUUCGGGUUGUAAACCUCUUUCAGUAGGGACGAAGCGCAAGUGACGGUACCUAUAGAAGAAGCACCGGCCAACUACGUGCCAGCCGCCGCGGUAA
rnacentral:rRNA from 1 species